GACUGCCGACAUCUUUCAUCUUGGCUUGGCCAGCGUCUGUCACUACUGAGAACCAAAGCCUUGUUUUUGCAUGGGACAUAACAGCUUAAUCUGUGGAGAAUGGAAACAUUUUACUGAAGUCUAAGAUUUAUGUACAGGCAACAGCACCAUUUCUGUUUCUCCUGAUGAGGACCAAGAAAAAGAAGAUGCAGGGACUCACUGAGGAAGCAACCAAGCAAGAGGAAAGCAUGCUGCAUGGAAGACAGAUCCCAUGAUUUGGAGGAGAAACCCUUGGCAGAAUCCGGGGUGGGUUUGGAUUGGAUUUCUUGUCUCCUGAGAGUCCUAUGUCCUCACCUGGAAGCAUGCCCAAAAUUUAUUUUAAAAUUAUCUACAAGGAGGAGAUGCAUGCAGAUAAUGCCUCAACCUCGCAUGUUCUUGAAGGAUGAAUUGUAGCACCAGAGUCCCUAGAGGGUGAAGGGAAGAUGGGUACACAGUCAGCCCUUGUCUGGAAGGCCUGGGAAGACUGGCCCAGGGGACGUAUAGAAAAACUGUAUGCAGGAAAUAUUCUAGAGCAGGCAGGGGAAGCCUGCCUGCAGCCCCACAGCCUGCAGGGGCCAGGGGAAAACUGAGAGUGUGCAGGCCUGAUGUGACUGUGUCUAAAUACAGUCUGAGUAGUCUUCAGCUGAAAGGACCUUAUCAGGACUGACAGGAUUUGUUACAGGCUGCACUAUGCGCUGCUGCGGUCUUGCACCAGGGACAUUACAAAGAUGAUAGAUGAUGCUGAUAAAAUGGCAAUCUGUAAGAGUGUUAUAAAAAGGUCUUCAGAGUUGUAUUUUUGUCUAGGACUUUAAUAAGUGACAGAAAAACAGUAGGUUGUAAAAAUCUGAAUGCAUGCUUCUGGAGCAAAAAGAAUGUCAAAUGUGAACAUGAACAAGACAGAAAUGAAGGAAAUGGACUAGUGGAAGAGUAGAGAGAAGGGAAAGGUGCUACACGGAAGCAGAGCGGUAUACAUUUCAGAAAUCUAAUUUGAAAAUCAUAAUCCAGAUCCCACACUCUUCUAAAUCUGGCCCAAAAUAUCUGAAACUGUGGACCCUAAAACCUUGAGGUAGAAAUUUUUAGAGGGUUUCUUAUUUAUACUCAUUAAUAUCUCUGGGGAAUACAGGUUGCUAUAGAACAAAAUUUCUGUGGUAUUGACAUGUGUCAUUCUGACCAGAGCUAAGAAAAUAUGAGCUGAGUGCAAUUAAAAUCGUAUGAAAUAUAUAAUAACUGAUUGAAAUUUAGCAUGCAAGCUCAUCAGUUUGAAAACAUUUUAGACAGAAGUGGUGAGAUAUAUGUGUAUCUUCUCUCAUGAUACAAACCCCAGAAUAUGCUAAUGGAAUUUUAAGGUAGAACGUUUAAAAUAGAUUAAAAAUAAUCACACAAUUGAAAUUUAAUAUAUCAAUUUCCACAAGGCAGAAGAGUCUAGAAAUAAUGAGGAUUCAAGACAGCAUAAAAUGAGAAUAUAAAAAACCAAACCUAGAUGACAUUUAGAAAGUUAAGAAGAGAUAUAAUUUUUGCACUUUGCUGUGAUUGUUUACUUUGAAUCUAUAGCAGAUCUACCGACCACUACUGCAAAAAGGAUAAUAAUCAUAGUUGCUAGUCUGACCCCUUCUCUGAUCUGGCAUCUUGGUUCCUAUGUUCUAUGUUUCUCCUGAUAAACCUCUUUAUGGCUGACAAAAAUUUGUAUCAAAUUGUUUGAAAAUCAGCCACAGUGACAAAGCUCUUAAGAAUGUUAAGGAGCUGCCUUUAAAACUAUUAAUCUGGUAGUGCUGUCUAUCCUUAGCAGUUCUUUCACUUACAGUGGCAUGAGGACAGAAUAGAAACCUUUGCCUGUACUUGCUGCUUUACUGCAGUACUGCACAACUUGUGCUAGCUUCUUUAGUCAGUGAUUUAAGCUCAGCUGAGUCUUUUUCUUAAAGACACAUAGUUCUCUUAACACCUAGCCUAGGUGCUUUUCUGAGAGAUUUCAUGUUCACAUUUUACAGUCUCAGAAAACAGUUUUACUAAGCUACCCAUACCAAAUCCAGUCCCUAGCUUGGGUGCCAUCAAGAAGCCAUGGGAAUAUGCAGUUCUGUAGAAUAAUAGUACAGGCAUCUGUAGGAUUACAUAGGAAACCUGCAGAAUAUAUUCCUUCAUUUUUUAUGCCAAUUUGUCACAGUAUUUAAAAAAAUAUUAAAAUAUUUUAUUGAAUAACGAGUAAGAAUAACCAGAUAACCAGAGCCACCCUGCAGUUUCAAAAGAGCUCAGCUAUGAAAACAGUGAACUAAGAACUGUGCAUAACACGUCUGUUGUAGCAGUCGCUGUAUUUGAGGAGCUGAAGGAGGUAAAUGUGGUAUCAAACUUUAGAAGUCCAUGGGUGCUCUGGAAACCUACAGAAUAUAAGUCUGACUCCAUUACAAUCCAAAUCUUUAAAUUAUAAUAAUGAAUUGAACUAAUAGCCAAAUACAUAGAUGAAAAUUUAAUGUGGUUUUUGUAGAGGGAAGCCACUCUGAGGUUCUUAGAAAGAGUCAACAGCAUGUGGAUGAGGGUGGUCUAGGGAGUCAAGCAUACUUGGCUUUCCAAAAAAUUUUCAUAAAGUGUUCACAAUAGUUUGUGAAUAGGCCAAACUUCUGCAGGAGAAAAGAAAAAAAUAUCCUUUCAAGGAUAAAUUACUGGUAAAAAGUUGAGUAAGUUUUCACGGUGGUGGGAGUUUUCCAUUGGAGUCUCACAAGGGAAUGUGCUGGGAAAUGUGUUCAGCUAUUCAUAAAGAGACUGACAAAAGUGGUGGAACAAGGAUAUGAAGAAAUUUUCCAAUAAUCAAAAAUUGUUCAGGGUGGCCAAAAGCAGGGCUAAUUGCCAAAGGAAUUUAUAAUCUUUAGUAAGUGGGUAAAAAGAUGAUGCUUGAGUGUCAAUACUGAUAAUGUACAAGGGUGAGGGGCCACACACCUUAACUAUGUCUGCAAAGCAAUGGGCUUGAAAUGAGCUGUUACUUUUAAGGAAAGACAUCUUGGACUCCUUGGGCAGGCCUCUGAAAACAUCAGAUCACAUAUUACCAGACAAAACCAUGAAAAGAAUGAGGAAGGGAACGGAGAGCAAAAUAAACAGAGUCAUUACACCACUGAAUAAAUCCAAGAUAUGUUCACAUCUUGAACAUUAAGUGCAGUUCUGGUUACCUCAUUCCAGAAAGUAAAUAUUAGGAUAUAAAGUACAAAAAUACUAGUCGGGAGUAUGGAACUGAGGGAGUUUUAUCCCAAGCACAAAUACAGGCUAGGUGGACAAUGUAUUGAGAGCAGCCCUGAGGAGAAAGGCUUAAGGGUGUUGGUUGGUGAGAAGCUCAGCAUGACCUGGCAACGUGCGCUUGCAGCCCAGGAAGCCAAACAUAUGCUGGGCUGCAUCAACAGGAGUGUGGCCAGCAGACCAAGGGAGGCGAUUCUCCCCCUCUAGUCCACUCUUCUGAGACCCCACCUGGAGUGCUGCGUCCAGCUCUGGGGACCCCAACAUAAGGAGGACAUGGACCUGUUGGAACAAGCCCAGAGGAUGGACAUGAAGAUGAUCAGAGGGCUGGAGCACCUCUUCUAUGAAGACAGGCCGAGAGAGUUGGGGUUGUUCAGCCUGGAGGAGAGCAGGUUCUGGGGAGAGUUACAGCACCCUUCCAGUACCCAAAGGGGGCCUACAGGAAAGCUGGAGAGGGACUUUUCAUGUAGUGAUAGGACAAGGGCUAAUGGCUUCAAGCUGAAAGAAGGUAGAUUUAGGUUAGAUGUAAGGAAGAAGUUCUUCACUGUGAGGUUGGUGAGGCACUGGAAGGGGUUGCCCAAAGAAGUUGUAGGUGCCCUGUCCCUGGAAGUUUCCAAGGCCAGGCUGGAUGGGGCUUUGGGCAACUUGGUCUAGUGGAAGGUGUCUCUGCCUAUGGCAGGAGGGUUGGAACUAGAUGAUCUUCAAGGUCCCUUGCAGCCCAAACCAUUCCAUGAUUCUAUGAUGAGUUAAUAGAUUAAGAGAGACCUCAUUGGUGUGGAAAAAGACCAGAGGUGGGUCGAGAGAAAAAAGCAUAAUAUAAUCACGGAGAAGGCAAGUAAGAAACGAUUAUGUGCUUUGUGACACAGGAACUCUAAAAGCAAAAAAAGAAAGCACUUUUUCACACAAUGCACAGUUAAGUUGUCGGACUCAUCACCCCAAGAUCUUGAGUCCAAAAAUAUGAUUGUUUUCAAAAUUAAAUUUAAAAGUAUACGUAGGAUAGAUUCAUAUUGCCAGUAAACAUAAUGGCCCAAAUAUGCCUUCUGUCUCAGAAGAUCCCUUACCAGAUUGCCAAAAUCCUUUCAGAGAAAGGAUCACUCUUUGUCUUUCUCUAAGCAUCUGCUGUUGGAAAGGUUUCCAUUCAAUGUUUAUCAAUAGUUAAUGGUUGUUGUAGCCAUGCCAGAUAAACAGUAUUGUUUCACUUUGUAUUUAUGUCUGUCUUCAAGUGAUGAAGCUACGGAAUUCUCCUAGGAUUUUUUGUGUCCCACUUAGAAAUAGGCCAGUUUCAAAAGGUUUUCAGGCUCGGGUGGGUUUGUGUAAUGAUCCCCAUUUGAGCUGGAGAUCUUCAGAGAACAGGCACUCUCAUGAGACUGCUGGUAUUUCCUGUUUCUCAGUAGACCAGAAAUACAGUAGCAGAGGAAGAGCUUUUCUCUUAGCACUGUAUGAUAACUAACCUUCUGCCUGAAUCUAGGAAGUGCCACAGUGCAUAAAACUGAAAGAAAACAAACAAGCAAAUUUAGUGUAAUCUUUUCAGCCCCCAGAAAAGGGUCAUAUUUGGCUUGUGUUUGGACAGUAGUUGUUCACCCCUCCCUAGUCCCGUGAUAUAUUUUUGUUCAGAACUAAGGGCUAGUGUGCCAUUUUCUAAAAUUAACUACAUGCUUUUUGUAAAUGUGUCUGCUUUAAAGCUCUGACAUAAGUAUUUUACAUUGUAAAGACAGAGGUAUUGUACAGUGGCACUCGACAAACUAAUCAUAAUGUAACAUUUCCUUGCAGGAAUAACAUUUUUGCCUCAAAAUAUCUCUUAAUAGACAUAUAUUAAAACAGGGUCUCACCAAUUUUCUUGAAAUCUGUCUAGUGAUUUCUUUUAAAAAAUCUUGCAGUUGUGGAUAUAUAUUGAUAUAUGUGUAGAUUUUAAACCCAAAAGGUCAAACAUCAAUUUCAAGUGGUUCCAAAGUAGACAAGUUAGAAACAGUGCAGAUUUCUAUUGACGUAGAGGAUUAUAAAAACAGAGUGACUCAGUGGGCAUUUGUGUCCUUCUAGUAGAUAUGCCUACACAUUUUAUAUUUUAACAAUUAAAAAAAUCUCAUUAAAAUAUUUGUAAAUUUCUUGUAUUUUUUAUACAUGAAUAUUUUAAUGGUGCGUUUGUGUGUGUAGAUUUUAUUUGUGUUUGUAAUGUAAUACAAUAAAAUGUAACUC